AACGAACGCUGGCGGCAUGCCUAACACAUGCAAGUCGAACGAGACCUUCGGGUCUAGUGGCGCACGAGUGCGUAACGCGUGGGAACCUGCCCUUAGGUUCGGAAUAACUCCCCGAAAGGGGUGCUAAUACCGGAUAAUGUCUUCGGACCAAAGAUUUAUCGCCUUUGGAUGGGCCCGCGUUGGAUUAGCUAGUUGGUAGGGUAAAAGCCUACCAAGGCGACGAUCCAUAGCUGGUCUGAGAGGAUGAUCAGCCACACUGGGACUGAGACACGGCCCAGACUCCUACGGGAGGCAGCAGUGGGGAAUAUUGGACAAUGGACGAAAGCCUGAUCCAGCAAUGCCGCGUGAGUGAUGAAGGCCUUAGGGUUGUAAAGCUCUUUUACCCGGGAUGAUAAUGACAGUACCGGGAGAAUAAGCUCCGGCUAACUCCGUG
rnacentral:rRNA from 1 species